UACGGAGGGUGCGAGCGUUGUCCGGAAUCACUGGGCGUAAAGGGCGCGUAGGCGGCGCGGGAAGUCCGUGGUGAAAGCCCGAGGCUCAACUCCGGGUCGGCCGUCGAUACUUCCGGGCUUGAGCACUGUAGAGGCAGAUGGAAUUCCGGGUGUAGCGGUGGAAUGCGUAGAGAUCCGGAAGAACACCGGUGGCGAAGGCGGUCUGCUGGGCAGUUUAGCUGACACUGAGGCGCGACAGCGUGGGGAGCAAACAGG
rnacentral:rRNA from 1 species